CUGGGGUGAAGUCGUAACAAGGUAGCCGUAGGGGAACCUGCGGCUGGAUCACCUCCUUAAUCGA
rnacentral:rRNA from 1 species